rnacentral:rRNA from 1 species
GGAUGAACGCUGGCGGCGUGCCUAAUACAUGCAAGUCGAGCGAACGGCCGAGAAGCUUGCUUUUCUGAUGUUAGCGGCGGCCGGUUGAGUACCACGUGGUUAACCUACCUAUAAGACUGGGAUACCUUCGGGAAACCGGAGCUAUUACCGGAUAUUAUUUUUAACCGCAUGGUUCAAAAGUGAAAGACGGUCUUGCUGUCCCUUAUGGUUGAUUCCGCGCUGCAUUAGCUAGUUGGUAAGGUAACGGCUUACCAAGGCAACGAUGCAUAGCCGACCUGAGAGGGUGAUCGGCCACACUGGAACUGAGACACGGUCCAGACUCCUACGGGAGGCAGCAGUAGGGAAUCUUCCGCAAUGGGCGAAAGCCUGACGGAGCAACGCCGCGUGAGUGAUGAAGGUCUUCGGAUCGUAAAACUCUGUUAUUAGGGAAGAACAUAUGUGUAAGUAACUGUGCACAUCUUGACGGUACCUAAUCAGAAAGCCACGGCUAACUACGUG